rnacentral:rRNA from 1 species
CGGGACGGGUGAGUAAUGUCCGGGAAACUGCCUGAUGGAGGGGGAUAACUACUGGAGACGGUAGCUAAUACCGCAUAACGUCGCAAGACCAAAGAGGGGGACCUUAGGGCCUCUUGCCAUCGGAUGUGCCCAGAUGGGAUUAGCUAGUAGGUGGGGUAAAGGCUCACCUAGGCGACGAUCCCUAGCUGGUCUGAGAGGAUGACCAGCCACACUGGAACUGAGACACGGUCCAG